CUGCUGGGCGCCAUCUUGUCUUCUCCUAGCACACUUUGUAUUGUUCGAAGUUGAGAGAGAAGGAGCCGGAGUCUCCGAGGUGGCGUUGGGUGGGGGCGCUACUAGCUCCCGUUCUCUCAGCGUCUCUAGAGGGAAGGGCGCCGGUGGGAGCAGGAGAGUCUGCACCGGGCAGGCCUCCUUAGGUGCCGGGUUGCGCGCAGGGCCCUGUGCUUGUCUCGCCUCCGGUUGGCUCAGGCCUCGGAGCAUGAGUGCGCCGGCAACUGCUGGGCCCGGGACAGUGAAGCAGAGGAGGAGGUGGGGGAGGCGAGCCCAGGUCGGGGAAGGGCAGCACCUGAAUCACCCUUGGGGCCCAGACCCCCAAGAGUCUCCGGGGAGCCGAGGCCUGGCGAGGCAGUCCCGGGAUUCGCCCCCUCCCCGCUGGCCCGAGGGCGCACCACGUGCUGGGCAGAGACUUCGGCGAGGCCGAGUGGACCCUGCAGCGCUGCUUGGGAAAGGGCACCUUGGACUACCUGGUGGGGGCGUUGUGCUUCGUUACCGACCGCCGGGACGCCAACCCACGGUGCCCACCCGUGCGUCAUUCCGCUGUGGAUCAGCCCUUUGGCGGCCCCCCUCCAAAGUCUACAAGGUCACACGGAUGUCUGCAGGCAGAGGUGGGGCUGCUGGGGCCCUGCCAGCAGCUGCUUCCGGCUCCCUGAGACCCAGCCAUGGAAGGCAUAGAAAGGCAUGUGACAAGAAACUCAUGGCUUUUAAUCCUGGCAGGACAAGGAAAACCCCGUCAAAGAUUUGCAUAAAUUUUGCUGCUCUCCUGCUGGGGGGGGGGGGGGGGCAGUUCGUCACAUUUAAUAAAAUUCUCUCCCUCCCUUCUCCCGA
rnacentral:lncRNA from 1 species